UACGUAGGGCGCAAGCGUUAUCCGGAAUGAUUGGGCGUAAAGCGUCCGCAGGUGGCUAUGUAAGUCUGCUGUUAAAGAGUGAGGCUCAACCUCAUAAGAGCAGUGGAAACUACAUAGCUAGAGUGCGUUCGGGGCAGAGGGAAUUCCUGGUGUAGCGGUGAAAUGCGUAGAUAUCAGGAAGAACACCGGUGGCGAAAGCGCUCUGCUAGGCCGCAACUGACACUGAGGGACGAAAGCUAGGGGAGCGAAUGGG
rnacentral:rRNA from 1 species